rnacentral:misc_RNA from 1 species
GAAGAGAAUAAUAAUACAAAUAAAACAACACAAAAGGGGGAAAAGCAAAUGGGAGACUUGACUAUUCUUCAUCUACAUUUUUUUUUUAAAGAACACAAAAAGGGAAAAAAGAUGAGAAAAAAAAGAAGAAGCAAUGAGCCAUUUGCUACUUUUUGCUCUUUUUAUAUUUUCCUACAAUAAUUCCCUUUUGGUAACAAACUCCACUCUUAACUCCACACCCCUUUUUUUUCUUCUUUUUUUUGGACUUCUGAUAAUAAUAUUAUUUCACACCUUAUCUUGUCUUUUUUUCUUUUUCCUGUAUAUACAUUGGACCACCAAAAAACAUUUUAUUUGUUUAUUCCAACAAAAGAGCUUUUGGCUUGCGCCUUUGUGCUUCAAUAACUUAAAAUACAAAAGAUUCCAGUCUUGAGUCCACACCCGACCCGUUUUACUUUCGGAAGAUGACCUUAUCCGCAAUGUCCAUCAACGGCUUCAAACAAUCCGGCG